ensembl:snRNA U6 U6 spliceosomal RNA
UGGUUCAGCAGCCCAUAUACUAAAAUUGGAACGAUACAGAGAAGAUUAGCAUGGCCUAUGCCCAAGGAUGACACACAAAUUCAUGAAUUGUUACAUAUUUUU